UCAAUCACAUCGAGCUCCUUAAUUUCUUUUCCCCUUCUUCAAAAUAAGAUGAAAACCCACAACAAUCAAAUCCUCUUAUCUUUCUUCCCUAAUUUAUAAUUAUAAUCUAUAUUCCUCUGUUUGUUAUUCUUCAAAACCCAAUUGAAUAUAUCUCCAAAACUCAACAGACGCUACGCUUCGUCGAGUCGGUUCUUGAUUGAGCUAACAACAGAUCAUUGAGCGCAUGGAAAAAACAUGAAAUAGCGAUUCAAAGAUAUCAUGUACACGUGGAGAGCUGCUUUGACACACAAGUUGCUAGCAUUGCUACCUGGAUGGGAUUUACACCAUAAAAGAUCGUCUCCUGCAGAUCAUGCUCAUGUAACUGGGCAGAUGCCAGUGAAAUGACCAUUAUCUUGUGGAAGUAAAGAGGACUUGCCUCCAGAAAUGGUGGUUGGUUCUGCUUCUGCUGAUGACUGUGCUGUUAAGCCAUUGAUGUGUUCAGCUGCUAAGUGGGGAAAGAGGCUUUUCAUAGGAUGUAUUCCAAUUGAAGCUACUUUAAUAACGUGCGGUUGCAUUCCAGUCAGUUUGGCCAUGUUUUGGACGUGUAUCUUCCCAAGUUGGAGCUAUGCCAGAAAGCUUUGGAGGAGAAUAUAAUUGUUUAUUUGGGGACAGUUUGUGGGAAGACCCACAUUGUUGUACUGCUUAUACACAAGCUGAGUCACUUGAUAAGGAAGCCACAGAAGAAGAUACGCAUCUUUUUGCCCCUACGGUGACUUUGGUUCAGCAGACUUAGAGCACCGCUGCAAGCAGAAAGAAAAAACUAUGGGCAUCAACACCGUUAGGCUAUCUGCCUCCAUCAGAUCGUCGGAACUGGCUCUGGGAAACACCAUAGAAGAUCAAAUUCUACCUAGGCUUUGUCUCUUAGCGUUCUGAGGAAUGGUUACUGGGAAAAUAAAUAAAAGAAGAGAUUAUUGGCCCAAUGAAUGAGGAAGAACAGUGCAAAGGAGAGUUGAGGCAUUGCAAAGCUAAUUUGUGGAGGGCUGAGACUUUGGGAAUUGUUGAAUUCCCAAUACUAGGCCGCAUCAGUAAACUUGCUAUUUCCUGGGAUUCUUUGAUUCGGUUUUGAUUAUGGAAUCUAUAGCAAUGUAUUGAUCUUUUGAAGUUGGAUAUGUGACUAUUAUGUACCUCUCUACAAGAUGAAGAAAUUAUGAGAUUAAAUGCAAUGUUUAAAGGCAUGGUUGUUGACAACUUUGGACCUACAAGAUUUAGAGAUGAAGCAUGAAGUCAUUAAGCCAGGAAUAAAAUAUUUGAAAGAUUUUAAUAAGUCAUUAAAUUAUAUGUAUUGUUGUAUUAUGAGUUUUGUAUUAUUUAAACUAGCAACAAAACGCACUUACUGAUUGCUUUAUAAACUGUAUACUAUAAUGCAUUAGUUAAAUAUUAUAAAUUUUAUUUUGACCUUUGGAUCUGA